rnacentral:rRNA from 1 species
CUGGAGGUAUCAGAAGUGCGAAUGCUGACAUAAGUAACGAUAAAGCGGGUGAAAAGCCCGCUCGCCGGAAGACCAAGGGUUCCUGUCCAACGUUAAUCGGGGCAGGGUGAGUCGACCCCUAAGGCGAGGCCGAAAGGCGUAGUCGAUGGGAAACGGGUUAAUAUUCCCGUACUUGGUGUUACUGCGAAGGGGGGACGGAGAAGGCUAUGUUGGCCGGGCGACGGUUGUCCCGGUUUAAGCGUGUAGGUGUGUGUUCCAGGUAAAUCCGGUUCACUUUAACACUGAGGCGUGACGACGAGGCACUACGGUGCUGAAGCAACAAAUGCCCUGCUUCCAGGAAAAGCCUCUAAGCAUCAGGUAACAUCAAAUCGUACCCCAAACCGACACAGGUGGUCAGGUAGAGAAUACCAAGGCGCUUGAGAGAACUCGGGUGAAGGAACUAGGCA